rnacentral:rRNA from 1 species
AGUGAACGCUGGCGGUAGGCCUAACACAUGCAAGUCGAACGGCAGCACAGUAAGAGCUUGCUCUUACGGGUGGCGAGUGGCGGACGGGUGAGGUAUACAUCGGAAUCUACUUUUUCGUGGGGGAUAACGUAGGGAAACUUACGCUAAUACCGCAUACGACCUACGGGUGAAAGCAGGGGAGCUUCGGACCUUGCGCGAUUGAAUGAGCCGAUGUCGGAUUAGCUAGUUGGCGGGGUAAAGGCCCACCAAGGCGACGAUCCGUAGCUGGUCUGAGAGGAUGAUCAGCCACACUGGAACUGAGACACGGUCCAGACUCCGACGGGAGGCAGCAGUGGGGAAUAUUGGACGAUGGGCGCAAGCCUGAUCCAGCCAUACCGCGUGGGUGAAGAAGGCCUUCGGGUUGUAAAGCCCUUUUGUUGGGAAAGAAAAGCAGCAGGUUAAUACCCCGCUGUUCUGACGGUACCCAAAGAAUAAGCACCGGCUAACUUCGUG